rnacentral:rRNA from 1 species
UACGUAGGGUGCGAGCGUUGCCCGGAAUCAUUGGGCGUAAAGCGCACGUAGGCGGCCUCAAAAGUCGGAUGUGAAAUCCCGUGGCUCAACCAUGGACGUGCAUUCGAAACUGCGAGGCUUGAGUAUGGAAGAGGGUCGCGGAAUUCCCGGUGUAGAGGUGAAAUUCGUAGAUAUCGGGAGGAACACCAGUGGCGAAGGCGGCGACCUGGGCCAAUACUGACGCUGAGGUGCGAAAGCGUGGGGAGCAAACAGG